UACGAGGGGGGCGAGCGUUGUUCGGAAUUAUUGGGCGUAAAGGGCGCGUAGGCGGUUGGAUAAGUCUUGUGUGAAAUCUCCGAGCUUAACUCGGAAAGGUCAACUGAUACUGUGCGGCUAGAGUGCGGAAGGGGCAACUGGAAUUCUUGGUGUAGCGGUGAAAUGCGUAGAUAUCAAGAGGAACACCUGCGGCGAAGGCGGGUUGCUGGGCCGACACUGACGCUGAGGCGCGAAAGCCAGGGGAGCGAACGGG
rnacentral:rRNA from 1 species